ensembl:lncRNA
GAUCUGAGAGUGCUAGGACAUCCUGCUCCUAAGGGCAUUGUUACCGCUCCCUUGCAAUACUGUUUAUAGCAUCAGCAGGCUCCUGCUCUGUUACCCCCUGAACACAAUGCUGUCUUCUCCAGGAGUGGAUCCAACAGCUCUCAGAACCUCCUCAGGAACUAUGUGUUUCCCAAGGAUUACCUGCACUUGCUUACACACCCCUAUCCUGUGUUCUGAAAACUUUUCAAAGCCCAUUCAUCUGUGACUGCUGCUGUCUGAAGUAGAGAACACUGUCAACUGCCCCAGAGGGGAUUUUGGGAGCUCCUACCAAGAAUGCCUCAGCUCCUUACUGAGAAGAUAUACAUUCCACAAAUGGGGCUUUAUUGAGAUGAGCAGAUUCUAAGGGGGCUGCCUUGAAUGAACAGCCAAAGAAAGCAGAAAUGAAGAACAAGCAAUUGCACCAGCCAUGUCGAAGGUUCAUCCACAGAGCACGUAAUUCUGAUUGGUGCAACAGUCUGGAAGAGUGAAAGACGUCAUCUCCCAAGGGCAAGUGCUGUGCUAGUGGACACUGAGGAGCUGCACGGAUCAGACCCCUCCCCAUCCUUCUCCAGCCUCUCUUGUUCUUCCUUGAGAUGUUUCCUACAGAUCUGAAAGAUCCAGGCAGUCCAUGACAUGCAUUUGAAUUUAAUCUCAGGACAUUUUACUCCUUGCUCUAAAAUUAAGACCAGGUAAUUCAUUUGUUUGUUUAUUUAUUUGUUAUAUGUAAGUACAAUGUAGCUGUCUUUAGAAACACCAGAUAGCAUCAGGUCUCAUUUGAGAUAUUUGUGAGCCACCAUAUAGUUGCUGGGAUUUGAACUCUGGACCUC